rnacentral:rRNA from 1 species
UACGUAGGGUGCAAGCGUUAAUCGGAAUACUGGGCGUAAAGCGUGCGCAGGCGGUUAUGUAAAGACAGUUGUGAAAUCCCCGGGCUCAACCUGGGAAUUGCAUCUGUGACUGCAUAGCUAGAGUACGGUAGAGGGGGAUGGAAUUCCGCGUGUAGCAGUGAAAUGCGUAGAUAUGCGGAGGAACACCGAUGGCGAAGGCAAUCCCCUGGACCUGUACUGACGCUCAUGCACGAAAGCGUGGGGAGCAAACAGG